rnacentral:rRNA from 1 species
CCUACGGGCGGCAGCAGUGGGGAAUAUUGGACAAUGGUGGGAACCCUGAUCCAGCCAUGCCGCGUGUGUGAAGAAGGCCCUCGGGUUGUAAAGCACUUUCAGUGAGGAAGAACGCCUGGUGGUUAAUACCCAUCAGGAAAGACAUCACUCACAGAAGAAGCACCGGCUAACUCCGUGCCAGCAGCCGCGGUAAUACGGAGGGUGCGAGCGUUAAUCGGAAUUACUGGGCGUAAAGCGCGCGUAGGUGGCUUGAUAAGCCGGUUGUGAAAGCCCCGGGCUCAACCUGGGAACGGCAUCCGGAACUGUCAAGCUAGAGUGCAGGAGAGGAAGGUAGAAUUCCCGGUGUAGCGGUGAAAUGCGUAGAGAUCGGGAGGAAUACCAGUGGCGAAGGCGGCCUUCUGGACUGACACUGACACUGAGGUGCGAAAGCGUGGGUAGCAAACAGGAUUAGAUACCCCUGUAGUC